rnacentral:tRNA from 1 species
UCCCUGAUAGUAUAUCGGUUAGUACACCCGCCUGUCACGCGGGAGAGCGGAGUUCGAUUCUCCGUCAGAGAG